rnacentral:sRNA from 1 species
GAAUCCUCCAUAGUCUGGUGAGUGUGGUAUCUUUAACUCUGGAGCCCAAACUGUUGCUUCCCAGUCUGGUGGUGAAUCCUCCAUAGUCUGUUUUGUCAGCCUGGCGGGUGGCAGCUGUCCAGAGAGAGGAAGCAGCCAACGUUCUUUGUGGUUGUCCUGACAGAUAUUGACUCAGAUCGACAUUACUGCUCAUGCCUAACCUUCUAUGAGGCAGAGAUCAAUCUUCAGGGAACAAAGAAGGAAGAGAUUGAAGGUGAAGCAGAAGUGUCUGGUUUAAUUCAGCCUGCCGAAGUGUUUGCUCCCAAAAGCCUGGUGUUGGUAUCCAGAUUAUAUUAUCCAGAAAUUUUUAGGGCUUGCCUGGGUUUGAUCUAUACCGUGUAUGUGGACAGCCUGAACGUCUCCUUGGAAAGUCUAAUUGCAAACCUUUGUGCCUGCCUUGUCCCAGCGGCUGGAGGGUCUCAGAAGCUGUUUUCUUUGGGUGCAGGAGAUAGACAGCUGAUCCAGACUCCUUUACAUGAUAGUCUUCCUGUCACGGGCACUAGCGUGGCUCUCCUGUUCCAGCAAUUGGGAAUUCAAAAUGUCCUCAGCCUCUUUUGUGCAGUCCUCACAGAAAAUAAGGUUCUCUUCCAUUCUGCAAGUUUCCAGAGACUUAGCGAUGCUUGUAGAGCCCUGGAAUCUUUAAUGUUUCCUCUUAAAUAUAGUUAUCCUUAUAUCCCUAUUCUCCCGGCUCAGCUACUGGAAGUUCUAAGUUCCCCAACACCUUUCAUUAUUGGAGUACAUUCUAUCUUUAAAACUGAUAUCCAUGAACUUAUUUUACACCCAGAUUUGGAAGUAGCAGAUCAUGCUUUUCCUCCUCCACGAACAGCUUUAUCCCACUCAAAAAUGCUGGAUAAAGAGGUGCGAGCCGUUUUCCUUAGAUUAUUUGCACAACUCUUCCAAGGAUAUAGAUCCUGCCUGCAACUUAUAAGAAUUCAUGCAGA